GACGGAGGGCGCGAACGUUGUUCGGAAUCACUGGGCGUAAAGGGCGCGUAGGCGGACCGAUAAGUCGAGGGUGAAAUUCCAGGGCUCAACUCUGGAACUGCCUUUGAAACUGCCGGUCUAGAGUGCAGGAGAGGAAGGCGGAAUUCCAGGUGUAGCGGUGGAAUGCGUAGAUAUCUGGAAGAACACCAGUGGCGAAGGCGGCCUUCUGGACUGACACUGACGCUGAUGCGCGAAAGCUGGGGGAGCAAACAGG
rnacentral:rRNA from 1 species